UACGAAGGGUGCAAGCGUUGCUCGGAAUUAUUGGGCGUAAAGGGUAGGUAGGUGGUCGUAAAAGUCUAUUGGUGAAAUCCCUAAGCUUAACUUAGGACGUGCCUUGGAAACUUUAUGACUAGAGUACUAGAGAGGUUCGUGGAAUUCCUGGUGUAGCGGUGAAAUGCGUAGAGAUCAGGAGGAACAUCAGCGGCGAAGGCGGCGAACUGGAUAGUAACUGACACUCAACUACGAAAGCGUGGGGAGCAAACAGG
rnacentral:rRNA from 1 species